GUUAGGUUGAGAAAUAUUUUGUGGUGUUGAUAACGGUUCAAGUUUGGGGUUGUUGGGGGAAAUUGAAAGGCUAAAGAAAGGCAUUGAGCUCAAGUGUUGAAUGAAAAAAGCAUGAGAAAAGAAAGAAAAGAAAAGAAAAAGCAUGAAAGGUGAGCUCAAUGUAAAAGAAAAGAAAAAAGGGAAAGAUGGGAAUGAGUGAGAUUUGUAAAAAAAAAAAAGAGUUUGUGCUUGAACUAUGAUUAUGUGAAUAACUCUCUUAACUCAAGGAUUUUGUGAUCAGAAAAACCAAUGUUUC
rnacentral:lncRNA from 1 species